rnacentral:rRNA from 1 species
UACGUAGGGGGCAAGCGUUGUCCGGAUUUAUUGGGCGUAAAGAGCGUGUAGGCGGCCAGGGAGGUCCGUUGUGAAAACUCGAGGCUCAACUUCGAGCUGUCGGUGGAAACUUUCUGGCUAGAGUCCGGAAGAGGAGAAUGGAAUUCCUGGUGUAGCGGUGAAAUGCGCAGAUAUCAGGAAGAACACCCGUGGCGAAGGCGGUUCUCUGGGACGGUACUGACGCUGAGACGCGAAAGCGUGGGGAGCGAACAGG